rnacentral:rRNA from 1 species
UUAAUUGAGCCCGUCAAAUUAAGUGCCAGCUGACGCGGUUAAACUUAAGGGCUGGUCUUUAUAAGUAAAAAGGCGUAGAGGAUGUGUAGGCCAAGAAAUUAUCUAAGAAGGUAAAUGGAAUUUUUCUGGAGCGGUAAAAUGUGAAGAUAGAAAAUAGAACACCUAAGGUUAAAACUAUUUACCACAAAAUAGGCUGAAACAUGAGAGAGUGGGGAGCAAACAGGAUUAGAGACCCUGGUAGUCCACUCUGUAAACUUUGAAGAUUAUGUUUAGCAGGCCCGAAAGGUAAAAUCUUCCGCCUGAGUAGUACGAUCGCAAGAUUAAAAUUCAAAAACUUUGGCUGUUCACUACUUCGAUUAGAGGAGCGUGUAGUUUAAUUCGAUGGUCCGCGUGUUACCUUACCCCAGCUUG